rfam:Corchorus olitorius cultivar O-4 contig12036, whole genome shotgun sequence.
AUGGCAUGUUGAGGACAAUCGGCGCAAAGUUACUUGAAUCUCUCCUAAGCUAGGUAAAAAUUCUCAUCCUUGCGUUGUCGAAAACUUGCAAUCAUUUGUCUCCCCUU